rnacentral:rRNA from 1 species
CAGUCGACGCUUUGUGGUUCAACUGAUUUGAAGAGCUUGCUCAGAUAUGACGAUGGACAUUGCAAAGAGUGGCGAACGGGUGAGUAACACGUGGGAAACCUACCUCUUAGCAGGGGAUAACAUUUGGAAACAGAUGCUAAUACCGUAUAACAAUGACAACCGCAUGGUUGUUAUUUAAAAGAUGGUUCUGCUAUCACUAAGAGAUGGUCCCGCGGUGCAUUAGCUAGUUGGUAAGGUAAUGGCUUACCAAGGCGAUGAUGCAUAGCCGAGUUGAGAGACUGAUCGGCCACAAUGGGACUGAGACACGGCCCAUACUCCUACGGGAGGCAGCAGUAGGGAAUCUUCCACAAUGGGCGAAAGCCUGAUGGAGCAACGCCGCGUGUGUGAUGAAGGGUUUCGGCUCGUAAAACACUGUUGUAAGAGAAGAAUGACAUUGAGAGUAACUGUUCAAUGUGUGACGGUAUCUUACCAGAAAGGAACGGCUAAAUACGUGCCAGCAGCCGCGGUAAUACGUAUGUUCCAAGCGUUAUCCGGAUUUAUUGGGCGUAAAGCGAGCGCAGACGGUUAUUUAAGUCUGAAGUGAAAGCCCUCAGCUCAACUGAGGAAUUGCUUUGGAAACUGGAUGACUUGAGUGCAGUAGAGGAAAGUGGAACUCCAUGUGUAGCGGUGAAAUGCGUAGAUAUAUGGAAGAACACCAGUGGCGAAGGCGGCUUUCUGGACUGUAACUGACGUUGAGGCUCGAAAGUGUGGGUAGCAAACAGGAUUAGAUACCCUGGUAGUCCACACCGUAAACGAUGAGU